UACGUAGGGUGCAAGCGUUACUCGGAAUUACUGGGCGUAAAGCGUGCGCAGGCGGUGAUGUAAGACCGAUGUGAAAUCCCCGGGCUUAACCUGGGAACUGCAUUGGUGACUGCAUUGCUAGAGUAUGGCAGAGGGGGGUGGAAUUCCACGUGUAGCAGUGAAAUGCGUAGAGAUGUGGAGGAACACCGAUGGCGAAGGCAGCCCCCUGGGCCAAUACUGACGCUCAUGCACGAAAGCGUGGGGAGCAAACAGG
rnacentral:rRNA from 1 species